rnacentral:sRNA from 1 species
CAAAAGUCCGUAAACUCUCAAACGAAUCCGUAAUUAAAUAUUCUGCCCAAGCGGGGAAGGAUGAGAAGCUUCGACCAAGGUUCGACUCGAGCGCCAGCGAGAGAGCGUUGCCGCAGGCAACGACCCGAAGGGCGAAGCGCGCAGCGCUGAGUAAUCCUUCCCCCACCACCA